GCGAUGUUUUCAAUCAUACGGCUGUCUAACCAGUCCCAUCACAUCCCACGACCAAAAACUAGUGCAACAAGGCUAUAGCAGAACGAUAGAUUGUCUCCCUCAUGUCACUUCCAAAUCUGGACCUAUUCGGCAUCGAGGUUCUAUCUUAAAAUAAUUGCGUCUGAAUAAACGUCCCCCUGCACUUCUAACGAACUGGUAAGUUAGUUCUCUCUCUGCUUUUAAGAAAAGGUGUUAUAAAAGUCUAUUACUACUUGGCAUACAAAUACUAUCUUUAGUUUAUUAAAGUCUGCGCCACCCUACAUAUCCCUGACGCGCGUUUCGCUUAUUAGCUCAUCA